UAAGACGUGAUCCCCAAGUGUUAUCCGGAUUUAUUGGGCGUAAAGCGUCCGUAGGCGGUUUAAUAAGUCGAGUGUUAAAAGUCAAGGCCUAACCUUGGAGAUGCAUUCGAAACUGUUAGACUAGAGGUCGUUAGGGGCUGAUGGAACGCACGGUGUAGGGGUGAAAUCCGUUGAUAUCGUGCGGAACACCAAAAGCGAAGGCAUUCAGCUGGGGCGAUCCUGACGCUGAGGGACGAAAGCGUGGGUAGCAAAAAGGAUUAGAUACCCUUGUAGUCCACGCUGUAAACGAUGGACACUAGCUAUUUGGAGUGUCGACCCUCUAAGUGGCGAAGCUAACGCGUUAAGUGUCCCGCCUGGGAAUUACGGCCGCAAGGCUA
rnacentral:rRNA from 1 species